GAUGAACGCUGGCGGCGUGCCUAAUACAUGCUAGUCGAGCGAACGGACGAGAAGCUUGCUUUUCUGAUGUUAGCGGCGGACGGGUGAGUAACACGUGGAUAACCUACCUAUAAGACUGGGAUAACUUCGGGAAACCGGAGCUAAUACCGGAUAAUAUUUUGAACCGCAUGGUUCAAAAGUGAAAGACGGUCUUGCUGUCACUUAUAGAUGGAUCCGCGCUGCAUUAGCUAGUUGGUAAGGUAACGGCUUACCAAGGCAACGAUGCAUAGCCGACCUGAGAGGGUGAUCGGCCACACUGGAACUGAGACACGGUCCAGACUCCUACGGGAGGCAGCAGUAGGGAAUCUUCCGCAAUGGGCGAAAGCCUGACGGAGCAACGCCGCGUGAGUGAUGAAGGUCUUCGGAUCGUAAAACUCUGUUAUUAGGGAAGAACAUAUGUGUAAGUAACUGUGCACAUCUUGACGGUACCUAAUCAGAAAGCCACGGCUAACUACGUGCCAGCAGCCGCGGUAAUACGUAGGUGGCAAGCGUUAUCCGGAAUUAUUGGGCGUAAAGCGCGCGUAGGCGGUUUUUUAAGUCUGAUGUGAAAGCCCACGGCUCAACCGUGGAGGGUCAUUGGAAACUGGAAAACUUGAGUGCAGAAGAGGAAAGUGGAAUUCCAUGUGUAGCGGUGAAAUGCGCAGAGAUGUGGAGGAACACCAGUGGCGAAGGCGACUUUCUGGUCUGUAACUGACGCUGAUGUGCGAAAGCGUGGGGAUCAAACAGGAUUAGAUACCCUGGUAGUCCACGCCGUAAACGAUGAGUGCUAAGUGUUAGGGGGUUUCCGCCCCUUAGUGCUGCAGCUAACGCAUUAAGCACUCCGCCUGGGGAGUACGACCGCAAGGUUGAAACUCAAAGGAAUUGACGGGGGCCCGCACAAGCGGUGGAGCAUGUGGUUUAAUUCGAAGCAACGCGAAGAACCUUACCAAAUCUUGACAUCCUUUGACAACUCUAGAGAUAGAGCCUUCCCCUUCGGGGGACAAAGUGACAGGUGGUGCAUGGUUGUCGUCAGCUCGUGUCGUGAGAUGUUGGGUUAAGUCCCGCAACGAGCGCAACCCUUAAGCUUAGUUGCCAUCAUUAAGUUGGGCACUCUAAGUUGACUGCCGGUGACAAACCGGAGGAAGGUGGGGAUGACGUCAAAUCAUCAUGCCCCUUAUGAUUUGGGCUACACACGUGCUACAAUGGACAAUACAAAGGGCAGCGAAACCGCGAGGUCAAGCAAAUCCCAUAAAGUUGUUCUCAGUUCGGAUUGUAGUCUGCAACUCGACUACAUGAAGCUGGAAUCGCUAGUAAUCGUAGAUCAGCAUGCUACGGUGAAUACGUUCCCGGGUCU
rnacentral:rRNA from 1 species